AUGAAGUCAGGUUUAAAAAAAUAAUUUGUAAGUAAACAUUUUAAAUCGCUUUGGUUUGUAGCUAGGCUUAUUAUUGGAAUAUUGUGUAACUAUAUUUGGGGGCCAAUUUUAAUCUUUUAGGCAGAGUUGAAUGAUUAAUACAGGCAACUCUAUGGACAUACAUUAGAUCAGAUUAUGUGAAUUUAGUCUUGGGAUCUUUUUAAAAAGAUGAAUAGGAUUUGGGUGUGGAAAUAAAGAAUAGUUUUUUGUAGGAGCAGUUUGGCCACCUAAGGACAUGCCAUCCUAGGAAGAAAGGGCAGGAAUAUCCCGCACGUGGCAUGCCGAAUAUGAAUCCCUGGGAUGAAGAAAGAAACUCAGGGCCAUCUUUGGCAAGCCCCUGCCUACUCAGAUGUUUCAAGGGACAAGAAGAUUCCUCUGCAGAAGUCCAGCUGGCCUUUGGCACAAGACCUCCCUAACCCUCUGCUGAGCUAUGGGCUGGCAUCAUAAUGCCCAACCAUCACCCGUGGGCUCUCCGGGUGUCUCUGGGGCAGGAGAGGAAACUCGAUGUCAUUUUCAGUAGAACUGAAGAGGGAACCUUUGGCUUUGGAAAUGCUUCCUAGAAGCCCAGAGGCUCAGCUCAGUGACACUGAAGAGCGCGUUUCCUCUUGACUCAUCGCAAAGCCCUGCUGUCUGGGCCCCUUCCAUCCACCACUUCCGUCAUCACCCAUCUCUGCUGCCUCAGCCUCAGAAAGCAGCGGGCAGCCCAGUAACCACCCUUUCCUACUCUCGCUUCCCCUGCGGCUCUUUCCAAAGAACCUGUUGGUUUUUCAAGAGAAGCAUGUACGUCCUUAUUUGCAUGUUAAGCUUUGCGCUGAGCUACUGGAGGGGGUCAGACUAGUGCGCUAACCCCAACAGUAGCUCAGGGUUCAUCUAUCACGUGGUCACUGCAGGUGGGAGUGGUGGGGGUGGUGGGAAGGAGGGGGGCACCAGCAGGG